rnacentral:rRNA from 1 species
GACGAACGCUGGCGGCGCGCUUAAUACAUGCAAGUCGAACGAGAAGCCAGAGCUUGCUCUGGUGGAAAGUGGCGAACGGGUGAGUAACACGUGAGAAACCUGCCCAAAGAUUGGGAUAAGCCUUGGAAACGAGGUCUAAUACCAAAUACCUUCCUUUUAACACAUGUUAAAAAGAAGAAAUGCUCCGGCGCUUUGGGAUGGUCUCGCGAUCUAUCAGCUUGUUGGUGAGGUAACGGCUCACCAAGGCAUCGACGGAUAGCUGGUCUGAGAGGAUGUCCAGCCACAUUGGAACUGAGACACGGUCCAAACUCCUACGGGAGGCAGCAGUAGGGAAUCUUGCACAAUGAGGGAACCUUGAUGCAGCGACGCCGCGUGCGGGACGAAGGCCCUAGGGUUGUAAACCGCUUUCAGUAGGGACGAAAGUGACGGUACCUACAGAAGAAGCCCCGGCCAACUAUAGUGCCAGCAGCCG